CCCACAUUCCUUCUCAACCCUUGCAGCCCCCAUCCGUAGUCAUCCAUAAUCCAACAACAACACACCUCCGUGAGUACCCAGCCGUGGUGGAAAAUCGGAACAACUGAAACCCAAAGCUGUGUGAGGACCCCCAAUAAUUUCGAAUCCGAGACAACAACACAAGAACAACACCCUGAAUCGCCAUCUCAACUCCACAAAAUCAUGUCGCCCAAGCCUCAAGACAUCAGAAAUUUGAGUACCAUUUUGCACAUGCCACGGUGUCCGAGAUGCACAAAGAGACAGAAGAGACAGAGUCGAAAAGCUUCCAAACUCACGGAUCUGCAAAUGUUGAGCAUACACCCGUGAGAAAACAAGCUUAAGCUGCCGGUCUAAUAGUCCCAGAAAGCAAAAUCAACAGCAACUGUCGCGGCCUCUGUAUGUCAUCUAGGGGUAUACGGAUCCAUGAUAGAGCCAAGGACACAGAAGUAAACACACAAAAGCAACGGAGGAAAACAGCACAGGCCGCAUGACCCAGAUCGAUGCAUCUGGGAGGUAAAAUUCGAAUCCCUGCAAGUGUAGUUGUUGUAGAUCUGGUAAUAAUAUUUGUACUCAGUUCUGUGGUGUAUGGAUCUGUGAUAAUUGUGCUUCCUCCAUGCAUCGCAAAACUGAGCUGCAGAAAUUAACUGCUCUAAAUUCUGUUUAUGUGCUGGAUCUGCAACAAUCACCCCCAAACUUGCAUCUGUGAAUGGCUUUUUAUGUUGACUGCUUUAAAUUU